CUCGAAGAGGCCAGCAAGCAGAAUGACCAAAUAUUCCCCUAGUCUUUGAGAAGGGGUGGAGGGGAUCAAACACAGGAACAACUGACUCCAAGUAAAUAUAGGUGACUUUUGACAUUCUUUGUUGCACAGAUUUUUCAGACUUGGUACUUCUGGUGUAAGAAUGAGCUGAAUCAUAAAAGUCCCGUCGUGCCGCAAGUGUUCGUGUAUAAAAGUCUGG
rnacentral:misc_RNA from 1 species